UGCGCGCUUAAUGAAUAUGAAACAGUAAUCAAAUUAAGAACGAAACUGUGUACAAAUUUAUCGUUAUAUGCUGCCGGGUAAACUAAAAAUAUUAUUUUAAUUUAAUAUGUUCACUUCUGGAAAAUCGCGCAGCACUUUUAAGCAACGGGAAAGCACAAGGAUUCGUUUAAAAAAAAGUUUGUUGAUUUUUAUUUAGUCUAGUAACCCGUGUUUUGCCAAUUUGAUUAAGGCAUUUUACCCCUGUGGAAGUCACG
rnacentral:lncRNA from 1 species